rnacentral:rRNA from 1 species
UACGUAGGGUGCGAGCGUUAAUCGGAAUUACUGGGCGUAAAGCGUGCGCAGGCGGUUUUGUAAGCCAGAUGUGAAAGCCCCGGGCUUAACCUGGGAAUGGCAUUUGGGACUGCAAGGCUUGAGUGCGGCAGAGGAGACUGGAAUUCCUGGUGUAGCAGUGAAAUGCGCAGAUAUCAGGAAGAACACCGAUGGCGAAGGCAGCUCUCUGGGACGGUACUGACGCUGAGACGCGAAAGCGUGGGGAGCGAACAGG